rnacentral:lncRNA from 1 species
UAUGCUUAUUGGUGUGAAUCAUGUAGCAUGAAGAGUACUGAGAUAGUAUAUACCUUGCAUGAGUUUGUGUUGGUGGCUGCUGUUAUUAUUGAAUUCAAUGGGGAAGGAACUGAAAUUUUGCAAAUGUUGUUUCCUCAACAAAUGCAGAAAGAACCAAGUAUGAAAUGAAGAAAACUUAGGCCAAGACUCACCUCUCGAUACUUGGCAGUUGGCAGCAGGAAUUAACUUCUCUUCAUCUCCCUUUCUGGUGGUUGGUGUAUGAGAGAAGGAAUGAAGUGUUAGGCUGGUGCUUUAAUAAGUGAGUUGUUGGCUGUAAAGUCAAAGGAUUGGAGAUGGUGGUUGGCUGAAUUGAAGGGAGGAGCCGAUUGGUCUUCUCUCAUUUUUCUUCUUUUUACACUCACGCGUUAUCUCCCGCAUGCUUGUAGGUUUCUCUCAUUUUUCUUCUUUUUAUUCUCAC